rnacentral:lncRNA from 1 species
CUCCACAGGUCCCGUGGGAAGAUGUCCGUUAUCUCUUUGAUGAGAUCAUGUAUGGAGGCCACAUCACAGAUGACGGGGAUUGCAAACUGUGUCGGGUGUAUUUAGAAGAAUUCAUGAAUCCAUCUCUGCUAGCUGCCCUGUCAGGAACACAUGCAUGUGGUGAAAAACCGAGACUUCCAGCCAACAGCCAUGUGAGCGAGCCAUCUUGGAAGUGGAUCCUCCAGCCCCAGUCAAGCCUUCAGAUGACUGCAGCUUUGGCCAACAUCUUGACUGCAACUUCCUGAGAGACCCUGAGCAAGAAUCACACCAUGAAGAUGUUCCUAGUUUUCUGAUUCUCAGAAACUGGAGACAGGGUUUCAGCAUGUUUGCUAAGCUGGUCUCGAACUCCUGACCUCAAGUGAUCCACCCGCCUCAGCCUCCCAAAGUGGUGGGAUUACAGGUGUGAGCCACCGCACCUGGCCAGUUGCAUCUUGAAUGCUGCCAUGUGAAGAAGGACAUGUUUGCUUCCACUUCUGCCACGAUUGAAGGACAUGAAGAGAGGAAGGGCUGGUGGAGAGAAUGCAGAGUAGUCAUAAGACACGAGCCUCCUCUGAUGGUCGACUUUGCCUUGAGAACUCAGAUGACCUUGCCAGAAUCUUCUUAGAUAGCUUGGAACUCUAGAACAUUUCUACUCACCCUUCUUCCUUCUCCCAUUCACUCAAGGCCAGACCUGCAAUGUGAUCUGACAACUCCCAGCCUUACAAGGUUCUCUUCCAAU